rnacentral:lncRNA from 1 species
CAUCAAAUUGGGGUGGAGGUCUGGAUCCUGAAGCUCCAUAUGGAUCAGUGGAGUACCUGCCCGUAUGAAAAGGCGGGUUUGUCCACUGGUGAUCUUGGCUCUCCGGCCAUGUCUCCUCUAUUGGCUCUUGUGGUUGCGCAUGUCGAACCCAUGGGUCUUGAAGGACUCGGGGGUUGUAGUCGCAAUAAUGCAGGUGUGCUGCUUCUUCUGGUCUGGGAUCAGCUCCAUACCAGGUGCGUUCUCGGUGGGU